UUCUAAUAUUCUACAUUUGCAU
rnacentral:snRNA from 1 species